rnacentral:rRNA from 1 species
ACUCCUGCGGGAGGCAGCAGUGGGGAAUAUUGCACAAUGGGCGCAAGCCUGAUGCAGCCAUGCCGCGUGUAUGAAGAAGGCCUUCGGGUUGUAAAGUACUUUCAGCGGGGAGGAAGGCGAUAAGGUUAAUAACCUUGUCGAUUGACGUUACCCGCAGAAGAAGCACCGGCUAACUCCGUGCCAGCAGCCGCGGUAAUACGGAGGGUGCAAGCGUUAAUCGGAAUUACUGGGCGUAAAGCGCACGCAGGCGGUCUGUCAAGUCGGAUGUGAAAUCCCCGGGCUCAACCUGGGAACUGCAUUCGAAACUGGCAGGCUAGAGUCUUGUAGAGGGGGGUAGAAUUCCAGGUGUAGCGGUGAAAUGCGUAGAGAUCUGGAGGAAUACCGGUGGCGAAGGCGGCCCCCUGGACAAAGACUGACGCUCAGGUGCGAAAGCGUGGGGAGCAAACAGGAUUAGAUACCCGUGUAGUCC